UACGUAGGGUGCAAGCGUUUGUCCGGAAUUAUUGGGCGUAAAGAGCUCGUAGGCGGUUUGUCACGUCGGCCGUGAAAACUGGAGGCUUAACCUUCAGCUUGCGGUCGAUACGGGCAGACUAGAGUGCGGUAGGGGAGACUGGAAUUCCUGGUGUAGCGGUGAAAUGCGCAGAUAUCAGGAGGAACACCGGUGGCGAAGGCGGGUCUCUGGGCCGUAACUGACGCGUGAGGAGCGAAAGCUGGGGAGCGAACAGG
rnacentral:rRNA from 1 species